rnacentral:rRNA from 1 species
GCUGGCGGCAGGCUUAACACAUGCAAGUCGAACGGUAGCAGGUAAGUACUUGUACUUAUGCUGACGAGUGGCGGACGGGUGAGUAAUGCUUGGGGAUCUGGCUUAUGGAGGGGGAUAACGACGGGAAACUGUCGCUAAUACCGCGUAGAAUCGAGAGAUGAAAGUGUGGGACCUUCGGGCCACAUGCCAUAGGAUGAACCCAAGUGGGAUUAGGUAGUUGGUAGGGUAAUGGCCUACCAAGCCGACGAUCCCUAGCUGGUCUGAGAGGAUGACCAGCCACACCGGGACUGAGACACGGCCCGGACUCCUACGGGAGGCAGCAGUGGGGAAUAUUGCGCAAUGGGGGCAACCCUGACGCAGCCAUGCCGCGUGAAUGAAGAAGGCCUUCGGGUUGUAAAGUUCUUUCGGUGACGAGGAAGGCGUGAUGUUUAAUAGGCAUCACGAUUGACGUUAAUCACAGAAGAAGCACCGGCUAACUCCGUGCCAGCAGCCGCGGUAAUACGGAGGGUGCGAGCGUUAAUCGGAAUACUGGGCGUAAAGGGCACGCAGGCGGACUUUUAGUGAGGUGUGAAAUCCC